rnacentral:rRNA from 1 species
UGAAAUCUGGCCGUUCUGCGGUCCGAGUUGUAAUUUGUAGAGGAUGCUUCGGGUGCGGCGCCGGUCUAAGUUCCUUGGAACAGGACGUCAUAGAGGGUGAGAAUCCCGUAUGUGACCGGUGACCUAGCCCGUGUGAAGCUCCUUCGACGAGUCGAGUUGUUUGGGAAUGCAGCUCUAAAUGGGUGGUAAAUUUCAUCUAAAGCUAAAUACCGGCCAGAGACCGAUAGCGCACAAGUAGAGUGAUCGAAAGAUGAAAAGCACUUUGGAAAGAGAGUUAAAAAGUACGUGAAAUUGUUGAAAGGGAAGCGCUUGCAACCAGACUUGCUCGCGGGUGAUCAGCCGUCCUUCUGGGCGGUGCACUCGCUCGCGAUCAGGCCAGCAUCGGUUCAGGCGGCCGGAUAAAGGCCCCGGGAAUGUGGCUCCCCUCGGGGAGUGUUAUAGCCCGGGGUGCAAUGCGGCCAGCCUGGACCGAGGACCGCGCUUCGGCUAGGAUGCUGGCGUAAUGGUUGUAAGCGACCCGUCUUGAAACACGGACCAAGGAGUCUAACAUCUAUGCGAGUGUUUGGGUGUCAAACCCAUGCGCGUAAUGAAAGUGAACGGAGGUGGGAACCCUUAAGGGUGCACCAUCGACCGAUCCUGAUGUCUUCGGAUGGAUUUGAGUAAGAGCAUAGCUGUUGGGACCCGAAAGAUGGUGAACUAUGCCUGAAUAGGGUGAAGCCAGAGGAAACUCUGGUGGAGGCUCGCAGCGGUUCUGACGUGCAAAUCGAUCGUCAAAUUUGGGUAUAGGGGCGAAAGACUAAUCGAACCAUCU